rnacentral:rRNA from 1 species
UACGUAGGGUCCGAGCGUUGUCCGGAAUUAUUGGGCGUAAAGGGCUCGUAGGCGGUUUGUCGCGUCGGGAGUGAAAUCCACUGGCUUAACUGGUGGCUUGCUUUCGAUACGGGCAGACUGGAGGCAUGCAGGGGAGAACGGAAUUCCUGGUGUAGCGGUGAAAUGCGCAGAUAUCAGGAGGAACACCGGUGGCGAAGGCGGAUCUCUGGGCCGAUACUGACGCUGAGGAGCGAAAGCGUGGGGAGCGAACAGG